UACGUAGGGCGCAAGCGUUGUCCGGAAUUAUUGGGCGUAAAGAGCUCGUAGGCGGUUUGUCGCGUCUGCCGUGAAAACCUAAGGCUCAACCUUGGGCUUGCAGUGGGUACGGGCAGACUAGAGUGCGGUAGGGGUGACUGGAAUUCCUGGUGUAGCGGUGAAAUGCGCAGAUAUCGGGAGGAACACCGGUGGCGAAGGCGGUUCUCUGGGCCUGUACUGACGCUGAGGAGCGAAAGCGUGGGGAGCGAACAGG
rnacentral:rRNA from 1 species